CGUAGGUGCGAGCGUUGUCCGGAAUUAUUGGCGUAAGAGCUUGUAGGCGGUUUGUCGCGUCUGCUGUGAAAUCCGGGCUCAACCCCGGACUUGCAGUGGGUACGGGCAGACUAGAGUGUGGUAGGGAGACUGGAAUUCCUGGUGUAGCGGUGAAAUGCGCAGAUAUCAGGAGGAACACCGAUGGCGAAGGCAGGUCUCUGGGCCAUUACUGACGCUGAGAAGCGAAAGCAUGGGAGCGAACAGGAUU
rnacentral:rRNA from 1 species